GGACGGAUGGCCCAAUUGGUAGAGGCGCGUGGUCGAGAGCCACGAGGUUGAGGGUUCGAAUCCCUCUCCGUCCA
rnacentral:tRNA from 1 species